GCUCAAAUGGUGUAGUUGGUUAUCACAUGCCUCUCACUAAGGCAAGGUCCCAGGUUCGAACCCUGGUUUGAGCA
rfam:Lobosporangium transversale strain NRRL 3116 BCR41scaffold_55, whole genome shotgun sequence.